UUUCCGGUUGAUCCUGCCGGACCUGACUGCUAUCGGAUUGAUACUAAGCCAUGUGAGUCUUUGUAGCAAUACAAGGCGUACGGCUCAGUAACACGUAGUCAACCUACCUUAUGGACGGGGAUAACCUCGGGAAACUGAGAAUAAUACCCGAUAGAUCAUUAUGCCUGGAAUGGUUUAUGGUCAAAAUGAAUUUCGCCAUAGGAUGGGACUGCGGUCUAUCAGCUUGUUGGUGAGUUAAUGGCCCACCAAGGCUAUAACAGAUACGGGCUCUGAGAGGAGAAGCCCGGAGAUGGGUACUGAGACACGGACCCAGGUCCUAUGGGGCGCAGCAGGCGAGAAAACUUUGCAAUGUGCGAAAGCACGACAAGGUUAAUCCGAGUGUUUCCUGCUAAAGGAAUCUUUUGUUAGUCGUAAAACCACUAGUGAAUAAGGGGUGGGCAAGUUCUGGUGUCAGCCGCCGCGGUAAAACCAGCACCUCAAGUGGUCAGGAGGAUUAUUGGGCCUAAAGCAUCCGUAGCCUGCUUUGUAAGUUUUCGAUUAAAUCUAUAUGCUCAACAUAUAGGCUGUCGGGAAUACUGCACAGCUAGGGAGUGGGAGAGGUAGACGGUACUCCGUAGGAAGGGGUAAAAUCCUUUGAUCUAUGGAUGACCACCUGUGGCGAAGGCGGUCUACCAGAACACGUCCGACGGUGAGGGAUGAAAGCUGGGGGAGCAAACCGGAUUAGAUACCCGGGUAGUCCCAGCUGUAAACCAUGCAAACUCAGUGAUGCAUUGGCUUGUGGCCAGUGCAGUGCCGCAGGGAAGCCGUUAAGUUUGCCGCCUGGGAAGUACGUACGCAAGUAUGAAACUUAAAGGAAUUGGCGGGGGAGCACCACAAGGGGUGAAGCCUGCGGUUCAAUUGGAUUCAACGCCGGA
rnacentral:rRNA from 1 species